rnacentral:rRNA from 1 species
GCGAGGAAACCCGCUGAACUUAAGCAUAUCACUAAGCGGAGGAAAAGAAACCAAAUUGGAUGCCCCUAGUAUGC